rnacentral:rRNA from 1 species
UGCAAGUCGAACGAACUCUGGUAUUGAUUGGUGCUUGCAUCAUGAUUUACAUUUGAGUGAGUGGCGAACUGGUGAGUAACACGUGGGAAACCUGCCCAGAAGCGGGGGAUAACACCUGGAAACAGAUGCUAAUACCGCAUAACAACUUGGACCGCAUGGUCCGAGUUUGAAAGAUGGCUUCGGCUAUCACUUUUGGAUGGUCCCGCGGCGUAUUAGCUAGAUGGUGGGGUAACGGCUCACCAUGGCAAUGAUACGUAGCCGACCUGAGAGGGUAAUCGGCCACAUUGGGACUGAGACACGGCCCAAACUCCUACGGGAGGCAGCAGUAGGGAAUCUUCCACAAUGGACGAAAGUCUGAUGGAGCAACGCCGCGUGAGUGAAGAAGGGUUUCGGCUCGUAAAACUCUGUUGUUAAAGAAGAACAUAUCUGAGAGUAACUGUUCAGGUAUUGACGGUAUUUAACCAGAAAGCCACGGCUAACUACGUGCCAGCAGCCGCGGUAAUACGUAGGUGGCAAGCGUUGUCCGGAUUUAUUGGGCGUAAAGCGAGCGCAGGCGGUUUUUUAAGUCUGAUGUGAAAGCCUUCGGCUCAACCGAAGAAGUGCAUCGGAAACUGGGAAACUUGAGUGCAGAAGAGGACAGUGGAACUCCAUGUGUAGCGGUGAAAUGCGUAGAUAUAUGGAAGAACACCAGUGGCGAAGGCGGCUGUCUGGUCUGUAACUGACGCUGAGGCUCGAAAGUAUGGGUAGCAAACAGGAUUAGAUACCCUGGUAGUCCAUACCGUAAACGAUGAAUGCUAAGUGUUGGAGGGGUUUCCGCCCUUCAGUGCUGCAGCUAACGCAUUAAGCAUUCCGCCUGGGGAGUACGGCCGCAAGGCUGAAACUCAAAGGAAUUGACGGGGGCCCGCACAAGCGGUGGAGCAUGUGGUUUAAUUCGAAGCUACGCGAAGAACCUUACCAGGUCUUGACAUACUAUGCAAAUCUAAGAGAUUAGACGUUCCCUUCGGGGACAUGGAUACAGGUGGUGCAUGGUUGUCGUCAGCUCGUGUCGUGAGAUGUUGGGUUAAGUCCCGCAACGAGCGCAACCCUUAUUAUCAGUUGCCAGCAUUAAGUUGGGCACUCUGGUGAGACUGCCGGUGACAAACCGGAGGAAGGUGGGGAUGACGUCAAAUCAUCAUGCCCCUUAUGACCUGGGCUACACACGUGCUACAAUGGAUGGUACAACGAGUUGCGAACUCGCGAGAGUAAGCUAAUCUCUUAAAGCCAUUCUCAGUUCGGAUUGUAGGCUGCAACUCGCCUACAUGAAGUCGGAAUCGCUAGUAAUCGCGGAUCAGCAUGCCGCGGUGAAUACGUUCCCGGGCCUUGUACACACCGCCCGUCACACCAUGAGAGUUUGUAACACCCAAAGUCGGUGGGGUAACCUUUUAGGAACCAGCCGC